ensembl:lncRNA BAALC-AS1 BAALC antisense RNA 1
GGGAGAUGGAACCCUGAGCAGCCCAUGUACAUGGAAGAUCUUUAUUGCAGAGAUCUUCAAACCAGGAAACUGAGGCUAAAGAGUUUAGUAUUCUGCCAAGGCCAGCUAAUAGUUACAGAGCAUGGUUCCAAAUUCAGAGCUGUCGGAAGCUUAAGCCCAUGUGAUGAACCACGAAUGUGAUUUUACCUCAUUUAAGCCUUGCAGCAAACUCUGCCAACUAGUGUGCAUUUACUCCUGCCUCUCCAUGCCUGAAGGAAGGAAUGAAGAGGUCUCUGCUGUCCAUCUGAGCCAGUGACUGGGCUGUCUCUACCAGGCCAGAAUUUGGGGCAGGCAAGAUUUUCAGCAUCCCUAAAAUCACACUAAGAAGAUAAACAUGGAAACAGCUUGGAGCUGCCCUACCCAUAGUGAGGUGGUACUGACUGGAAGACAGCUUAAACGAUUUGGAGAAAAGUGGAAUACAUUAAUCUCAGAAAACUCUACCACCUGUAGAAAGAGAGCUAAAAUGGAGACAACCACAGGCAGUCUAAGAUACGCUGAACUACUACAGAAAAUAAUGCAGCAUGAAGGAAUGCUGGAAGGUAUGGGGUCAGAGCAAGCUGAUGGAGGGUCCUUCAUUUCCAAGCCACGAGUACAGCAGGAUGUAAGGCUUAGUUCAUAAGAACAUCUCCUGAAAGACAAUCUCUAUAAAAACUGUUUCAAUAGAAAGAAUGCAAGAUGUAACUGUUUAAUAAUAGGACUGAUAUUUUAAAAAACAAAUGAACGUAAUAGAAGACUAGAUGGAUGUGCUUCUCAAAGUCCUCUCUGUGGGAGGCUUCAUCCUCACUCUAGAUGUGUUGCCUGUAGCAGCUGUUAUUGAUUACCCGCCCAUAGCCUAUCCAUACUUACUCAUCAUUCCUUUACCUACCAGUGGCAUCCUAUUGGAAGCACCUGCGACUUUCUUAGGGCUUUCUCUUGGCCAAGCAUUGGAAGGCCAGCAGUAUUGAAAAGUUAAUAGUCUUGGAAGCACUGGCCCUCAACUAAUGACAAAGAAAAAAUAUAAGAUAAAUUCCCCAGCUUCCUUGCCUCCUGAAUGGGUCAAGUCUGUGGUGUGUUCUACCCGUUUUUCAGAGGUCCCAUGUUUUAAACCCUAGCUGCUCAAGGCAAUUUCCUGAUCAUUGAUGUACUCUCUAUUGGCUAAUUUUUAGAUAAUAUGGAAUAUGCUCAAAAUAGGAUACUCAAAGAAAAAAUCAGAUGCCAAAAUUAUGUACACCGAAUGAGUUCAAUUCUGUAUAAGUGUGGACAUACACACAUCAAAAGAAAUAUGGAACAAAAGAUACUAAAUGUUUAUAGUGGUUAUUUCUGGGUGUUGAAAUUUUAAGUGAUUUUCCUUUUCUUCUUUGUAAUUGUCUCUAUUUUUCAGUUUUUUCAAUAUACCCUGUAUUUCUUUUAAAAUCAGAACAAACCACCAUAAGUUAUUUUAAAAGGCUUAUAAAGCUGAUGAAUAUUUUGUCUUUGUUUCCUUUGUGUUGCCAUAGUCUGAGGGAGUAGUUCUCAAGUGUAGUCUCUGGACCAGCAGCAUCAACAUUACCUGGGAACUUGUUAGAAAUGCAAAUUCUCAGAGGAUGCCUAGGACCUUCUGAAUAAGAAACCCUCGGGGUUGGGGGUGAAGGGGACAGCAAUCGGCAUUUUAAGAAGCUCUCCAGGUGAUUUUUAUGCACAUUGAAGUUUGUGAACCACUGGUCUAAAGAUAACUUUUAUUACACCUACCUGUUAGUCCCCACUAAAGCUCCCUGGGUGGGGUCCAAAAAUUUCAGUCAUGUAAAAUGCAGGAUUGCAUUUUUGUGGGGUUGGCAAACUGAUUGGGAUGAGCCUGCUGAGUAAGAUGAAAGCUCAUUACAGUUGUCUUAUGUCUGAAUUCAUUGUAGGGCAAAUUAUGUUGGGGUUUCAUCAUAAAUAUAUUGGUCUGCAGAGUUUAUAUAUUCUGUAUUGAAAUCUAUGGUGCAUUUAAUAGGCAGAAGGCUAGACUAAUUUAAAUCUAAUCUGAUGAUCACGGAGACUGCUUGACACCUGUGAUGUUUCACAGGCUUGGAGAAAGUUUUGUUUUCUUUAUACCUUUAUUUUCUACUUGCCUGGUGGCUUCAUUUCCUUAGUUUGAUUUUUCUUCCAUAAUUCUUCUCUCUUUCCCCCAAUUAUGCAAAGAUAGUGGAUUUCAAUAUUUUGUGGAAAAAACUACCAUCCCUUGGAUUUGAGAGGCCCCUCCUCAGUUUCCCCCAUGGAGCUUUUGUUUUCCAGUGUGUUACAUUAGUUGUUUGUGAAUCUGUCUUCUCCCCCACCAAAUGGAGGCCCUAAAUGCCAUGUGAGCAGGGACAGUGACUUAUACCUCCUUGCAUGCUUGGUUCUUAGCACAGGGCCUGGCAGAGACAGCAAGAACUCAAAACAUAUUGGUGAAUGAGUGAAUGAUGAUGCUGUAAUUCAAGACACACAUUCAUUUAUUUAGCAUUAAAAUGUUUUACAUAGCAAAUAUUAAUACAAGAAAUGCAUGCCAGGAACUUAACCUACAUUCAUUUUAAUAUGUGAAGAAUAGGAAUAUGUGUA